CCUACGGGGGGCAGCAGUGGGGGAUAUUGCACAAUGGGGGGAACCCUGAUGCAGCGACGCCGCGUGGGGGAAGGAGGGUUUCGGCGCGUAAAGCCCUAUCGGCAGGGAAGAAGAUGACGGUACCUGACCAAGAAGCCCCGGCGAACGCCGGGCCAGCAGCCGCGGCAAUACGCAGGGGGCAAGCGUUAUCCGGAGUUACUGGGUGGAAAGGGGGCGGAGACGGCAAUGCAAGCCAGGAGUGAAAGCCCGGGGCCCAACCCCGGGACUGCUCUUGAAACUGCAUGGCUGGAGGACAGGAGGGGCAGGCGGAAUUCCUAGUGUAGCGGUGAAAUGCGUAGCUAUUAGGAGGAACACCGGUGGCGAAGGCGGCCUGCUGGACUGUGACUGACGUUGAGGCCCGAAAGCGUGGGGAGCAAACAGGAUUAGAUACCCCAGUAGUC
rnacentral:rRNA from 1 species